GAUGAACGCUGGCGGCGUGCCUAAUACAUGCAAGUCGAGCGAACGGACGAGAAGCUUGCUUUUCUGAUGUUAGCGGCGGACGGGUGAGUAACACGUGGAUAACCUACCUAUAAGACUGGGAUAACUUCGGGAAACCGGAGCUAAUUCCGGAUAAUAUUUUGAACCGCAUGGUUCAAAAGUGAAAGACGGUCUUGCUGUCACUUAUAGAUGGAUCCGCGCUGCAUUAGCCAGUUGGUAAGGUAACGGCUUACCAAGGCAACGAUGCAUAGCCGACCUGAGAGGGUGAACGGCCACACUGGAACUGAGACACGGUACAGACUCCGAGGGGAGGCAGCAGUAGGGAAUCUUCCGAAAUGGGCGAAAGACUGAAGGAGCAACGCAGCGUGAGUGAUGAAGGUCUUCGGAUCGUAAAACUCUGUUAUUAGGGAAGAACAUAUGUGGAAGUAACGGUGCACAUCUUGACGGUACCUAAUCAGAAAGCCACGGCUAACUACGUG
rnacentral:rRNA from 1 species